UCGAGGAUCUUCGGCAAUGGGCGCAAGCCUGACCGAGCGACGCCGCGUGUGCGACGAAGGCCUUCGGGUUGUAAAGCACUGUCGAGGGGAAGAAAAGCCGCAAGGCCUGAUCGACCCCUGGAGGAAGCACGGGCUAAGUUCGUGCCAGCAGCCGCGGUAAGACGAACCGUGCGAACGUUGUUCGGAUUCACUGGGCUUAAAGGGCGCGUAGGCGGACCACCAAGUCAGGGGUGAAAGCCCCCGGCCCAACCGGGGAAGUGCCUCUGAUACUGGCGGUCUCGAGCGGGAUAGGGGCAGCUGGAACUUUCGGUGGAGCGGUGAAAUGCGUAGAUAUCGGAAGGAACGCCGGUGGCGAAAGCGAGCUGCUGGAUCCCCCCUGACGCUGAGGCGCGAAAGCCAGGGGAGCGAACGG
rnacentral:rRNA from 1 species